GACGAACGCUGGCGGCGUGCUUAACACAUGCAAGUCGAACGGAAAGGCCCUGCUGUUGUGGGGUGCUCGAGUGGCGAACGGGUGAGUAACACGUGAGUAACCUGCCCUUGACUUUGGGAUAACUUCAGGAAACUGGGGCUAAUACCGGAUAGGAGCUCCUGCUGCAUGGUGGGGGUUGGAAAUUUUCGGCGGUUGGGGAUGGACUCGCGGCUUAUCAGCUUGUUGGUGGGGUAGUGGCUUACAAAGGCUUUGACGGGUAGCCGGCCUGAGAGGGUGACCGGCCACAUUGGGACUGAGAUACGGCCAAGACUCCUACGGGAGGCAGCAGUGGGGAAUAUUGCACAAUGGGCGGAAGCCUGAUGCAGCAACGCCGCGUGCGGGAUGACGGCCUUCGGGUUGUAAACCGCUUUCGCCUGUGACGAAGCGUGAGUGACGGUAAUGGGUAAAGAAGCACCGGCUAACUACGUG
rnacentral:rRNA from 1 species